rnacentral:misc_RNA from 1 species
GAUGAAGAACGUAGUGAAAUGCGAUACGUAAUGUGAAUUGCAGAAUUCAGUGAAUCAUCGAAUCUUUGAACGCAUAUUGCGCUCUCUGGUAUUCCGGAGAGCAUGCUUGUUUGAGUAUCAGUAAACACCUCAACUUCCAUAUCUUUUUUGAAAUGGGAGUUGGACUUGAGUGAUCCCAACGCUUUUCCUCACCGAAAAGUGGCGGGUUACUUGAAAUGCAGGUGCAGCUGGACUUUUCUCUGAGCUAUAAGCAUAUCUAUUUAGUCUGCCUAAAAAACAGAUUAUUACCUUUGCUGCAGCUAACAUAAAGGAGAUUAGUUCUUGUGCUGACUGAUGCAGGAUUCACAAAGACGGCUUCGGCCGACUUUGUAAACUCGAUCUCAAAUCAAGUAAGACUACCCGCUGAACUUAAGCAUAUCUAAGCGGAGGA